UAUCUCUCCGUACGGGGAAGGAUGAGAAGCUUCGACUAAGGUUCGAUUCGAGCGCAGCGAGAAAGCGUUGCCGCAGGCAACGACCCGAAGGGUGAGGAGCGGAGCGACG
rnacentral:sRNA from 1 species